rnacentral:rRNA from 1 species
UUUGUAAUCUGGCUGUCUUCGAUAGUCCGAGUUGUAAUCUAUAGACGUGUUUUCCGUGCUGGACCGUAUCUAAGUCCCUUGGAACAGGGUAUCAAAGAGGGUGAUAAUCCCGUGCUUGAUACGACCACCAGUGCUCUGUGAUACACGCUCUACGAGUCGAGUUGUUUGGGAAUGCAGCUCAAAAUGGGUGGUAAAUUCCAUCUAAAGCUAAAUAUUGGCGAGAGACCGAUAGCGAACAAGUACCGUGAGGGAAAGAUGAAAAGCACUUUGGAAAGAGAGUUAAACAGUACGUGAAAUUGUUGAAAGGGAAACGAUUGAAGUCAGUCGUGUUCUUCAGAUUCAGCUGGUUCUUCCAGUCUACUUCUGUUGAACGGGUCAACAUCAGUUUUGUCCGGUGGAUAAAGGUAGUAGGAAUGUGACUCCUCCGGGAGUGUUAUAGCCUAUUAUUGCAUACACUGGGUGAGACUGAGGACUGCAGCUCGCCUUUUGGCCGGUCUUCGGACACGUUCGAGCUUAGGAUGUUGACAUAAUAGG